AUGGCCUCUCGUAGGAAGAAGAUGGCUGCAUACCGAGAAGAUUGGAAGGAGGGCAGACCCAGCCCAUUGAAGCGGGUGCGGCCAGAAGAGAGGUCGCUUAACCAUUAUGUGCUCUGGCAGACGUACGUUUUGAUGGCCGUAAGAGGCUUGGGCUACUUGGCUCUUCUAUGGUCGACGGUGGUCCUCCUGGGUGGUUUCGUCACCUUGCUGCGGAGGAAGGAUUUCUGGUGCCUUGCAACCAUUAGCAUGUUACAGGCAUCCAGGAUCGUGAGCGAUGUGGAGGACCAGCGGUCCUCCAAUUUUGCCGAACUGUACGUCAACGCUCAUGCGUACUUUGUGGGAAUCAUACAGAUUACUACUAACAAAUAUGCUGCUAGAGAGCUGUCUCGGUGUUGCUACUGUGCCUUUUUAUCGGGUCUUAUCCUAUGCUGGCCUGUCAUCGCCGUGCUUAUGAGCUUAGUGUUACUUGUACUGUUCAUCCACCAUUAUGGGCAUUUCGUCUGUGUCGUGCUCUCAUUGUGGCGCAUAGUACAGCGUGAUUAUGGAAGCAACGAUGGAGACGGCAGCAAAGCAAAUAUGAUGCCAGCUCUAGACAUAUUCUAUUCUUUGGUUCUUUGCCAAGGUGCGCUCUGGUUUAUAUGGGUGUGGAUCAGUUCUGGGGCGAUGUGGCUUGUCGUUUCUCUGCGUCGAGCAUGCAAGUUCCCGGAGAAGUGGGGCAGCAUAUCGGUUUCGGAGUACCUCCUGGACACACUAGAGAAAUGCUGGCGGGACCCUAUGUCCAUACAUGGCAGGAAGGUGAUCAACUAUGCCGUUGACUUGCUUGACUCUGACUCGCAGAAAGAUUACCUCUCGGGAGCAAGGAUGCUGGACACCUUCAUUAAGCUGGACGCUGAUGUAAGAUCAGUUAUUCUCCCCUCUAGGCCAAAGAUUCAGAAGCUGAUCGAUACAGUGGGAUCGAGAAGCAGUGAUAGAGAGAUCAGGGAGCUUGCGGCCAGGAUCAUCGCCUAUCUUGCAGGUGAUAUCCACCUAACCCAGUUCCCUGGGGCAAUACGGUGCAUAUCCUCUGUGCUCGAUACCACCCUGCCAUAUUGGAACAACCAACAAGGACACAAUCAUUACUCAACUCAAAGUAAGUCAAAAAAGUCUUUUUAUUCUAAAGGAAAAUUGAUUUUUCAUGUCAGAAACAUAGAGGAACGUAGAGCAAACAAGGUUAAAGCCCAAGAGGGUGACUUUCAGCAAGACGAACUAAAUAAUUCUUCGACCAAUGGCAGCAAAGGAGCUGGCUGGAAUGAGCUGAUUCUACAAGGCAUGACAAUUCUCGAGAAGCUCGUGGCCGACCAGCAGAACUGCAGCGACAUAUGCAGCACCCCUGGUCUGCUCCCCAAGAUCAUGGCGCCUCUUAACUCCGAGACACUAAUCCAAGAUAUCAGUAUAAAUGCAUGGGCAGAUAUAGUAAACGGAUCGUUCAAAGUGCUUCACAGGCUCAUCUGCGUUCCUGAGUGGACAGGUAGAUGGGUGCACUCUGAAAUAGCUUCUAGCGAACAUGCAGUGAGCAACCUGGAGGAAAUUCUUGAUGAGGGCAACAGAAAUGUCGAAGAACUGCAGAUGCGAGCCAUAGAGAUCCUGACCGAACUGGCUUUGGAUAUGCAAACAGAUCUUAGCAGCAAAACAAAAGAAAUUCUCCUCAAGAAGCAGCUGCAGAUCUUCCUUACUGAUGGCGAACCAGAAGAACAUGACAGUAAGUUCAUCACAGAAAGGCUGAAAGUAACGGCUGGUAAAACAUUGGCACUAUUAGCCAAGACAGCAACUGUGUCCGCGCUUGUAGUGAGGGAAUAUGAGAACAUUGUUGAAGUACUUGAUGCUAAGAACAAAAUCAUUUACAGAACAAUUGCAGCGGAGAUCUUGGAGAAUUUGUGUAGUCACCAUAAGAUGGACAAGGAACAUGUGAAGACUAUCUUGCUGCCAAAGGUACUAAGAGAAGUACUAACCACUGAAGCAUCUGAAAGCAAUGUUUCUGCAUUGGGAGAUGAUGCAGAAAACCAUCAACUUUCUGCACUGGGAAAUGAUGAAGAAAAACAACUUCCGAAGCACAAGAGGCAAAUGAAGUCAGCCGAUCAAGCAAAUGAGGAGCAAACUGCUAUGAUGGAAUUGCAAGAAGCGUUUUUAUCUCUUACUUUGGUGAUAUGCACUGAACUGAUCAGUGCGGAUGACUUUGAUGAUGUGGCUCGAAAAGUUGCCCCAGCAGAAGGUGGAUUUGUGGCGAAGCUGAAGACUAUAAUAGAAGAGAACUGUGAGGACACGGCUAACAGCCUAAGAAUUGUCAAGCUUUGUGGUCAGAUUGCUGUUAGAAUGAUGCGGCGUGGCCAGUACAGUGCGCACUUCAAGGAUCAGAAAUUCGUGGAGACACUGUCUAAGGCUUCGAUAAUCAUGUCUAACCUUGAAAGCUGCAUGCUCUUCGCUGGGACUGAUUGUGGAACGAAGAAGACUGCCAGACCCCUCCUCUCGGAUCUCGUGAAAGAGGCACACGUGUUGGUUGCUUAA
rnacentral:rRNA from 1 species